rnacentral:rRNA from 1 species
GUGCCAGCAGCCGCGGUAAGACAGAGGGGGCAAGCGUUGCUCGGAAUCACUGGGCGUAAAGGGCGCGUAGGCGGGUUCGCAAGUCGGUCGUGAAAGCCCCGGGCUCAACCCGGGAGAGUCGGCCGAGACUGCGGGUCUUGAGGGGCGCAGAGGAGACUGGAAUUCCCGGUGUAGCGGUGAAAUGUGUAGAGAUCGGGAGGAACACCGGUGGCGAAGGCGGGUCUCUGGGCGCACCCUGACGCUGAGGCGCGAAGGCGUGGGGAGCAAACGGGAUUAGAUACCCGUGUAGUCC